rnacentral:rRNA from 1 species
UGAAGCGGCAACAGCUCAAAUUUGAAAUCUGGCCCUUUCAGGGUCCGAGUUGUAAUUUGUAGAGAGUGUUUCGGGUGAGACCACGGUCUAAGUCCAUUGGAACAUGGCGUCAUAGAGGGUGAGAAUCCCGUAUGUGACUGUGGAUCGAGCCCAUGUGAAGCCUCUUCGACGAGUCGAGUUGUUUGGGAAUGCAGCUCAAAAUGGGUGGUAAAUUUCAUCUAAAGCUAAAUACUGGCUGGAGACCGAUAGCGCACAAGUAGAGUGAUCGAAAGAUGAAAAGCACUUUGGAAAGAGAGUCAAACAGUACGUGAAAUUGUUGAAAGGGAAGCGCUUGCAACCAGACCUGUCCGUAGGCGAUCAGCCGCUGUUCUCAGUGGUGCACUCGCUCUACGAUCAGGCCAGCAUCGGUUCUGGCGGUCGGAUAAAGGCCUUGGGAAUGUAGCUUCCUUCGGGGAGUCUUAUAGCCCUCGGUGCAAUGCGGCCAGCCGGGACCGAGGACCGCGCUUCGGCUAGGAUGCUGGCGUAAUGGUUGUAAGCGACCCGUCUUGAAACACGGACCAAGGAGUCUAACAUCUAUGCGAGUGUUUGGGUGUCAAACCCAUACGCGGAAUGAAAGUGAACGGAGGUGAGAACCCUUAAGGGCGCAUCAUCGACCGAUCCAGAUGUCUUCGGAUGGAUUUGAGUAUGAGCAUAGCUGUUGGGACCCGAAAGAUGGUGAACUAUGCCUGAAUAGGGUGAAGCCAGAGGAAACUCUGGUGGAGGCUCGCAGCGGUUCUGACGUGCAAAUCGAUCGUCAAAUUUGGGUAUAGGGGCGAAAGACUAAUCGAACCAUCUAGUAGCUGGUUCCUG